GGCAUUUGAAGGUCCGGUUGGGUCGGUGGUGGCUAAGGGCGUGGGCGUUGGUGACAGUCAUGGGUUGGAAUCGUGCUUUGUAACUUAUUAGCUAUGUGGCCCUGAGAAAGUCGCUGCACCUCUUAGAGCCUCAGUUUCCCUGUCUGUAGAACGGGCUCAUCGCCUGCUCCACACUGUUGCUUUGAAAAGGAAACGCACGCAAGUGCUUGAGCACAGCAGCUGGGCCGAUUUUGAGCUCAAAAUACGGUAGCGAUCAUGAUGAUUGCAUCGUGAAGAUAAGGAAAUGACAAGUGCUAUCCGUGCCUGGUGGUAACUCAGUGGGGAGCUCUUAGCACAUCAAAAAGGUAUUUAAAACACAACCCCCCCCCCCCCCCAACAAUUAGCUCUAGGAAGAAGAGUAAAUAUGGACGCAAUUUAUCACUCGGAGCGCCCUGCUAUCAGAGACAGAUGCCGUCAGUUAAAUAAAACAGACCCGAAGACCUGCCAGAAAGAUCAACCCGAGAAACAAUUGGCUAAUUUGCUGAUCGGCAGUGGACAGUGGGCCUUUGGUGACACACACACCAGUCAUAUCUUUCUGCUAAUUCUUACCCGAGUUACACGUUGCUUUUUGCACCCAGAGGGAGAAGAGACACUGAGCGUCUUUAACCGAAAAACGUAACAGAGGUAGGUCCAACCCUGCAAAAGCCGUACGACUGCGGCUUUACUGCAACGGGCCACCAGACAUCCCAGUUCGCCGGGGACCGUGGUUCUCCCCGGGGACGUAGGGCGUUCAGCGCCCAAUCCCGGACAAACAGGGAUGGUGGCCCCAGGUGCGAGUGACAGUCAACCCCAGGGGGAAGCAACAUUGGGUCAAAGCUGGCUUGUGCCUAGCCUUGAAGAAAUCCUACCUGCCCCCAUAUGGCAAAACAGACCGUGAACCCAUUAGCAGUAAGAAUGUGGGGUCACGUGGGACCUGUGCGGGAGGCGCACCAGCCAAGGUAAAAGUCCAGGGAGACCUCGGAGAGGCGAGUGCGCAGGGGGGGGCCGGAAGAGGAUCUUGGACAGACAGCUUUUCGCUUCGCAGAGCCCUGCUGAUGCAAAACCGCGGAGCCCGGCCUCGCUCAUCGGACCCCAGAGCCUCCGCCCCUUCCUCAGGAUAUAUCCGAGCGUGUGCUGUGUAAUCCGGGGCCGUAUCCACGAAAUGCACAUAAUUCUCCCCCUUCAGCUGUUGCCACUGCUUUCUGAGACUCCGUAUAUAAAUAUCUGUGCGUGUGCGUUUGUGUGUACAUUUCCUGACAUAUUUACGAAGUCUCAGUUUGCCAACCUUUGGGGCAUAAUGCAAGAACUAUUUUUCAUCCUAA